CGGCUAACUACGUGCCAGCAGCCGCGGUAAUACGUAGGUGGCAAGCGUUGUCCGGAUUUACUGGGCGUAAAGGGCGUGUAGGCGGUGCGUUAAGUCCGGUGUGAAAUCUCCCGGCUCAACUGGGAGGGGUCAUCGGAUACUGGCGGACUAGAGGGGGGCAGAGGAAGGUGGAAUUCCCGGUGUAGCGGUGAUAUGCGUAGAUAUCGGGAGGAACACCAGUGGCGAAGGCGGCCUUCUGGGCCCACCCUGACGCUGAGGCGCGAAAGCGUGGGGAGCGAACCGGAUUAGAUAAACGGGUAGUCCACGCCCUAAACGUUGGACANUAGGUGUGGGGGGUGUAGACCCCCUCUGUGCCGCAGCUAACGCGUUAAGUGUCCCGCCUGGGGA
rnacentral:rRNA from 1 species